rnacentral:rRNA from 1 species
UGGGGAAUAUUGCACAAUGGGCGCAAGCCUGAUGCAGCCAUGCCGCGUGUGUGAAGAAGGCCUUCGGGUUGUAAAGCACUUUCAGCGAGGAGGAAGGUGGUGAGCUUAAUACGCUCAUCAAUUGACGUUACUCGCAGAAGAAGCACCGGCUAACUCCGUGCCAGCAGCCGCGGUAAUACGGAGGGUGCAAGCGUUAAUCGGAAUUACUGGGCGUAAAGCGCACGCAGGCGGUUUGUUAAGUCAGAUGUGAAAUCCCCGGGCUCAACCUGGGAACUGCAUUUGAAACUGGCAAGCUAGAGUCUCGUAGAGGGGGGUAGAAUUCCAGGUGUAGCGGUGAAAUGCGUAGAGAUCUGGAGGAAUACCGGUGGCGAAGGCGGCCCCCCUGGANGAAGACUGACGCUCAGGUGCGAAA